UACGAAGGGGGCUAGCGUUGCUCGGAAUUACUGGGCGUAAAGCGCACGUAGGCGGUCUUUUAAGUCGGGGGUGAAAUCCUGGAGCUCAACUCCAGAACUGCCUUCGAUACUGGAAGACUCGAGUCCGGGAGAGGUGAGUGGAACUGCGAGUGUAGAGGUGAAAUUCGUAGAUAUUCGCAAGAACACCAGUGGCGAAGGCGGCUCACUGGACCGGUUCUGACGCUGAGGCGCGAAAGCGUGGGGAGCAAACGGG
rnacentral:rRNA from 1 species